GGGGGGAGCAAGCGUUGUUCGGAUUUACUGGGCGUAAAGGGCGCGUAGGCGGCCAGCGCAAGUCAGUUGUGAAAUCUCCGACCUUAACUCGGAAAGGUCAACUGAUACUGCGCGGCUAGAGUGCGGAAGGGGCAACUGGAAUUCUUGGUGUAGCGGUGAAAUGCGUAGAUAUCAAGAGGAACACCUGCGGCGAAGGCGGGUUGCUGGGCCGACACUGACGCUGAGGCGCGAAAGCCAGGGGAGCGAACGGGAUUAGAUACCCCGGUAGUCCUGGCCUUAAACGAUGAAUGCUUGGUGUCUGGGGUUACAUAGUCCCCGGGUGCCGUCGCUAACGCUUUAAGCAUUCCGCCUGGGGAGUACGGUCGCAAGACUG
rnacentral:rRNA from 1 species